UUUGCUGUCGACAGAAAUACAUCAACCCAUUACUCUUCUGUAUUAAAUGUAUACCAGCCUUUCUGGAUAAUCGAUCUGGGAGAAAUCCGGGACGUGUAUGAGGUCAGGAUCCUCCCUCAUGAGUAUGGCUCCUUCUUCAGCAACAUUGAGAUCCGUCUUGGAAUGGAUCUCCUGACAACAGGCAACUUCUCCUCCUACGUCUUGCUGGCAACAUACCCAGGUCCCUACACAUGGUCUGAUAUGGUGUACCUGUCCUGCUACUCAGAAGGGGUUCCCGGGAGGUACCUCAGUGUUCAAAAGAUGCUAUCUUUUAGUGCUACUUUGGCUCUCCGAGAAGUGGAAGUGUACGCCACGAAGAAGCCUUAAAAGAAGCCCCUUCCAGGCCAUGAAGUGCUGGACAACUACCAAUCUCAGACACUGGAAAAUCGUCAAAUGAGACAAAAGAAAAAAUCCUUAGGAUUUAGCUCUGAAUGAUUUCAUUGUCAUUCUGUCAUAUGACAAUUCAGAGGUACAACAUCUAAAGCAUUUUAAUUUCAUUUUAUCAAUGCUAACUUUAGGACCAAAGCCAUUCACAUAAUUUAGCUUGUAUGAUAUUUAUUAGCGCUUUAAUGAAGAGUUUUCAUAUUUUCUAUUGUAAUAUUUUAAGAGGAAUAGAUUAGUGUUAUUCAGUUCUAAAGGCAUUCACUGCUGCUUUCAUGAUAAUCAAGUCUUAUGAACAGUACUUAGCUCACGAAAAUAUUGGUCCUUAAAUUUUCAUUUCUAUUUUUAAGAUGAAUAUUCCUAUCUUCAGAUGUCAGAAAGAAUGUCGUAGAUAGUUAAGAAAGUUUAGAAUCAGCUAAUUGAGUGACUCAUCUCUAAACGUUAAUCUUUCUCCAUUAAGUACAGAAGAACAACCUAUAAAUAGAACAAAGCUCUUCGGAGAGCAGACAAUAUAACCAGAUAAAUACUAAGCCUACGCUAUUCCAACUUAACCAAUAAUUAAAUAGUCUUGGAGAGAGAGAGAGAGAGAGAGAGAGAGAGAGAGAGAGAGAGAGAGAGACCUUACU